AACAAUAUCCAAUCCUGGACAUAAAAUGUAUCAUUAAAUAUCUUGAGAAUAGUGAGACAUUAUAAAACACUGUACAGUUUUAAUUCUUCAAUUAGUUUUUCAGUAUUGGAUUGAAUUAAAUUCAAUAAUAAUUUAAUUAUUAUAUCUUAGAACAUGUCUUAGUAGGAAAAACUUUCCAGGUGAAGUCUCUUAAUGAAGCACAGGACCCAGAACUAGAAUGUCACCCUCUGAUGGCAUCUAUUAUCAUAGUAUUAUGUCAACGUGAUGCGUCUGAACAACCAUCAGUAUGCCUUACAACAGAAGUUAUUCUGGCAAAAUUAAUAGUAUGCUUUUUUCUUAAGACCCAAGGGUGAAAUGUGGGGGAGUAAAAUGUUCACCAAUCCACCCAUCUUGGCCUCUUUAGCACAGUACAACCAAAUCAAGAGAUAUAUGAACUUAAAGCUAUAUAUAAGCUAUUCAGGCCAAGAAUAUCUAAUUCUCACAGAGGCAAAAGGUUGUAGGACCUAAAUUAUCUAUAGUAGCUGCUUGAGCUGAUAAAAGCACCAGGCAAUUUCUAAACUCCCCACUUUACUUUGUGCAGCUACAACUGUGUUUUAAAAAGUCCCACACAAGGCUUUAAAGUGACUCAUUUGUAAUAUACUGCAGAUGGUACUUCCAUUUAUUAUUGGGCGUUGCUCUGCACUGUAUUAUAACUUCAGCGUUUGGACAGCAAUCAAAGCAUUUUUCACCCAGUGGCCUCUACUUUACAGACAAUACUAUGGAGUUAUUUCCUACCAAUAUAAAGAGCAAUUUUAGUAAUCUCGAUGACUUAUAUACAUAACAGCUUGUAAUAUUAACACACCAAACUUAAAAUCAGUUUGCAUUAUUUUUAACUAGCUAUGAAAACCUGCCCAAAGAUUUUAAAUGAAAUAUCUCCCCCAACUGCAUGUAAGUCAUUAUAAGCCUCCUAUCAGAAAGCAUUCAUUAUGGCUCCCACCAAUUCACUUUUCUUAGUAGUUACAAAUUGUCUAUAAUUUCCAACAGUUGGUCUCAGCUCAAAAAUAAACUUUUUCACAGCUAAACUAACCCAUUUUCAAUGUCCAUCCACCAUAAUUUUCAAAACUCUUCACUAUAAAAACUGGAAAGUUUUGGGUACAAAGGGAAUGCUUAAAAAACAAAUGUUCCUAAUAUUUGUGUUUACAUAUUGGAUUUUUUACAAAUACCUGGUUUAAAUUAUUUCUGUGACCAUAAAAUUUUAUAACAAUGGGGGUAAAUAAUCUAUCUUAAUAUCAAUCAUUUUCAUAAUGGAACAGUAUUUCAGAAAUGGAAUCUUUUGUAUUCGAAAAUUUGUUUUUAUUCAUUUCUUAUCUUUCUCCUUCUUUCCAAAAACAGCACAAAGCUAUUAGAAGAAUUUACUAGAUUUAUCUUAAAUUUUGCCAAGAUCUAGAAUGCCUGUGGCCUUGACCAAUCUCAUUAGCCUAAUGAUAGUGAGAUACAUGAGGCUUUCGUCAUCUCAACCCCAUACGGGGUCUGGCUUCAAGGGAAAAUGCAGCUUUCAUAAAAUAACCUCGGACGAGAACAACUGCACCACCGUCUGUUCAAACAUACGCGUCAAAUCUCUGCUAAAUUUACACAUUCUACUUCCAAGCUUUGCUUCUUCAUUUAUCCAGAAAACAUUCAUUUAUAUUUAUUUUCUUUCAAAUACAUCAGGCUUUUUGUAUACCACUCAAGAACAUUGUUGAAUCUUCCUGAAGAUAAUCUCUGCAUUGAUUAUAGUACAUGAAAAGAAUCAUUUCUUUCAUACCCCCCAGUUCUUUUUUUUUUAUACAUACACAAAAAGGGCUGGCUUAAUUUAGAGAAAAUGAGAGUUCUAGUUUAACUUGUAAUUUUUCUUAUCCUAUCACCAGAAACUACAUUCUUGUCCCUGACUUUCCUCUUAAAUGUUUGAUUGUUGUUGGGUUUGGGUUUUUGGUUUAGUUUGGUUUUUGCUUUUUUGUUUGUGAUGACUCUUCUAACCAUACAUUAUCUAAAAAAAAAAAAAAACACCUAUGCAUAAAAUGUUCUAAUGUUUCCUACUUGGCUGAAUCAGAAAGAAUCAAUUACUGUGUAGAAUUUCACUGAAACUUCGAAGAUAGAUAACAUCAAACUCUGUAACAUGUUAGUGACGUUUUUUCUUUGCACUUUUUCAUUUCUCUUCACUGUGAAAAUCUUUUGAGGAAAUAGUAUGUAGUUACUAAGUAAUCCACAUAUUCUCUAUUUUCCCUUUACAUUUAUUUUGCUUUGAUUCAGGAAAAAAUAUAUAUCUGUUAUGUUUUAAAAUAAUACUAACUUCUGAACACUCUAAUGAUUCUAGUUGUCAUGAUCUCUCAUUUUGACUUUGGCAAUUAUUCUCAUACGUACCCAAGAUAACCUGCCCAGUCUAGACAUCACUUCUUCCUUGUCCUUCUCUUUUUGUAAUAUACUUUAUGCCCAUAUAGUGCCUUUUAUCCACAGAUCUCAAAGUGCUUCUUUUUUUCUAAUAUGCCUUUAUAUUCUCUAGAGAACCAAAGAGGCUUUUUUUAUUGUACCUCUGGCUUUCUUUUAUGGAUGAAAUCUGGUCUGGUUGCUAAGAAGCAUGGAUUUGAAUACACUCUCUAGCAGCUUCUACCCUUCUGCUUUUAAAAUGGUUAUUUUUUUUAAUCCAUUGAAGUGCAAUUUGACUAUCAUUUUUUAAAAUCUCCUUUUAAAAGUCAAAAUGCAACUCUCUGGAAACCAAUGAAUCUCAUUGCCACGGUAUGGUAGGUUCUCCUGCUUCAUGAUCUAUAAUCAUUUCUUCAGUGUCAGUAAUAAAAUGCUUCAGUAACCUCUCCCAGCCCCUUGGCAUUCUGCCUACUAGUGUCAGGCCUUUCUCCCCCUGCGAUCCUACUACUCAAAGAGCCAAGAGUGAUGGUGCUGCUGCCAUGGCAACUUAGAAUAUUGAAGGCUUGGAAGUCUUUUCUUUGUUUUAUAUGAGAUAUUAACUGAAGAACAUUGCAUAUUUAAGAGGCUUAUUUCAUUACCUAUUUCCCCUGAGUUCUUUUCUCCUCCCAUAUAGACUUGCCUAUCUAUAUAUGGCCUUAAUUUCUAGACUAACAAGUAGUUUUUUAUUCUGCCUCAUUUACCGAAUGAGCAUUCCCUUGUUACCUUGCCCGAGGUCAUGCAUGAGUUCCCAGAAAAUUGAAAGUUAGUCUGCAUUCCCUGGUCACAUCCUACCCAACAAAGCAGUUUCACUGCAGCAUAGAAUCCCCUGGUGCAUAAUUGAGACCUAACUUCAGACUUCUAAACAGGGUAAUGUCAACUCCCUCCUCCAGCUGUUCCAGGCAGUUAUCUUUACCAGCUGUUUACCAUCGUCAACAAUGACAUACUUCUGCAUGUCUGAAAUAUGUGAAACUUCAAAACGGCCCUUUCAUGUUUCUACCCAAGGAAUUUGGAGUAAGUGUUCAAUCCAGUGGGGAAGCUACAGUGUUUACUAACCGAGAUGGCAGCCAGGAUCCCUCAGUUUGAGAUAUGCUUUCAACUAGGUGUUGCCAACUUUCCUUCCAGAUGGCUGUUAAGCACCCACAACCUACAAUCAACACAGCUUCUGGCAGCAGUUGGGAAGAGCCAUGAGCAAUGUCACAUCCAGAGGAGAAAGCCAGCAAAAUCAUCCCCUGUACAGUCAUUCUCAAGUACCAUACGCAUUCUACUUUUAUUAACAGAACUAUUUAGAUUAGGCAUGAAAUUAAUUUACUGCUACGCUGGUUUAAGACAUUUAUUUUUAAAAUUAAUUUUGCAAUUGGCUUGAAUCUGUUUUGCUAUAGGAGGCUAGGAUGGCAAACAGACAAUGAAAAAGAAAAACUAUGCAGCCCCAUCAGAGUAAGCGGAUGGCAAGGUGAUUGAUGUUUCUGCCCAAGGAGUGAGCAGAUAGUCAAAAAGCAUGGGCUAAAUCUAUAAUUUUUGUGCUCUGGGGACAAGAGGAAGGAUUGGAGGUGGGAAGUUUCUUAGUUUUAUGCAAUGGAACUGAGAGAGGCAUUUUGCCUGUUCUUUGCAUAUAUUCUACCCUAUUCAAAUUCCAACUGGCAGUGAAGAGUUCUGGCAUUGGCUAACUGAAGAAGCAUCACUUAUUUAUUUGUUUUGUGGCUGUUUGUUUUGCUCUUUUAAUCUCAAUGGCCCAUCAAUUUUUAACUAAGCUCCCUCCAGGGUUUAUGGUUUGGGCAAGCCAGUUAACCACAAUAAGUGGCAUUCCCAAAGAAUUUCUGCGUGCAUUAUUAGCAGAGCACAGUGGCUGCCUUGGACUCCAGGUAAAAAGAUAAAGCAUUUGCUGGGGAUAUUUGUCUCAAUCUAUAGAGAAGGAGGAAUUUCCAAAUGGGUAACCUUUUCCCCCAACCAGAAUCACCCCAAGGAAAUUUGACUUCUCCUAAAAUCCUUUCCCUUUACCAGCUCUCAUACUAGCUCUCCACAUUUUUUCACACCUUAUUGCUCAUAGUCAGAAAGUGCUUCCGAGUCUUGUUUCAAUCCCUUCUGCAUCCUCCUUUCCUAUGUCAUCAAUAAAAAUGGUAACAUCAACAUAUUAUGCUUUCAUAAGUUUAUAUUUCUGUAAUGGAAUACACCAAUUUUGUUGCUCAUUCUAGGCUCUAACUAGGAGCACAUAUAUCCAAAUUCUUAGUUAGUGGGCAUUCUCAAAGAGCUCUAAGAAUUCAGACACAAUGACUGAAUAUAACCUACAGAAAAUUAGGCUGAUUUUUGCCUUAAGACACAGUUUCUUCUUUUUUAAAAUACACAACAAUGUUUUUCUUCUCCUAAUUAAGUAGUGCUGUACACUAGAAAUCAGAUAAAGAAUUCAAGGACCCAAAGUUUAGAACAGGAACUGGCAGUUUUCUUUGCAAUGUGUGAUAGAGAAUUGGUUUCAUUUUGACCUCCUGAGGUUUGACUAAUUCUGUUACAGAUUUGGAAGUCAAUGUUCUAUCUUGCAUAUAAAGUCAAAAGAUUUAAUUCAAAUAAAAAGUAGAACUAAGUAUGUAUAUGCUUAUAGGUUAGAAUUCAUAACUUAAUUAUCUACUGGAGCCAUUUCUAAAACAUGAUGUUAGAGCCAUAUUUAUUUUUACUUUUGAUGGCAUCUUUUCUGCUUAUAGAGAUAAUACAUGUCAUUUUUUAAAUUAGGAAAUUCAGAAAAAGUAUAUGUCAUUGAUAUUCUCACCACUCAGAGAUAACUAGAGAUAUGUUUUUUCAAUCUUUUUGAAAUAUAUGCACAUACCAAUACACAUUUUUAAACAACACUAGCUUAUACCAGACAUAUUUUUUAUACCAUGAGCAUUCCCAUUUAUAUUAAACAUUAUCCAUUAGGAUAUGUUAAGACAAUAUCCAUUAGGAUAUUAUCUAUUAGGAUAUCCAUCAACUGUAUUUAUUUUUAGAUUUAUUUUAAAGUUUCCAUUUAACAUCACUCAAGCACAGGAAUGUGUUAGUCAUUAAAGAAUAUCUGUAAAAAUCACAUUUAAGAAAGUUACGGUUUAAAGAAAAGAAAAGAACAAAAAAAAAAAACUCAUUUCAUUAUCACCAGGGCUGAAUUCAGAGUUAUAGAGGAAAAGGAAAGUAAGUUAAUCAGUUGCUUCAAGGAAAUGAAUCAACCAUUAAAAAUCAUGCAUUUACAAAGCUCUCUUUUGUAAGGUAUCUCUUUUGCUGAAGUACUUUUGUUAAUAUUAUUCAUCUGCCUGGAAUAGACAUCAGCUCCCCUGCCUAGCUCAAUCCUACAGAUUUUUUGAGGAUCAAUAUUUUCCAUCUGGCCUUUCCAACUGUUCCAACCUCUUCUUAAAAAGCCUCUUCAAUCUCUUGGGAGGAAGCUGACGUAUAAUGGUUAAAAAUGUAAGGUUGAUCUUGAGCAAAUUAAAAUUUAAGGUUUUUGUGCCUCCAGUUUCCUAUCUGUAAAAUGGUAAUAAAAUAUUCCCUUCCUCACAGGGUCAUUACAAGGAUCAUAAGUCAAUAGCAUGCCAAGCACUUAAAAUGGUGCCUGGAACAGUAUAGAUAUUCAAUAAAUGAUGAGUGCCAUUAUCUGUAACUCUCAUUUGGAUGCUUAAUAUUGUUUGACCGUAGUAACCGUUUCACUAUGUAUAUGUAUAUCGAAACAUCAUGUUGUUAAAUAUAUACAAUACUUUUUUUAAAAAAUCACAU
rnacentral:lncRNA from 1 species